rnacentral:rRNA from 1 species
UACGAAGGGGGCUAGCGUUGCUCGGAAUCACUGGGCGUAAAGGGUGCGUAGGCGGGUCUUUAAGUCAGGGGUGAAUCCUGGAGCUCACUCCAGAACUGCCUUUGAUACUGAAGAUCUUGAGUUCGGGAGAGGUGAGUGGAACUGCGAGUGUAGAGGUGAAAUUCGUAGAUAUUCGCAAGAACACCAGUGGCGAAGGCGGCUCACUGGCCCGAUACUGACGCUGAGGCACGAAAGCGUGGGGAGCAAACAGG